rnacentral:rRNA from 1 species
CGGUGGAGCAUGUGGUUUAAUUCGACGCAACGCGAAGAACCUUACCGAGGGCUUGACAUCCCCUGACCGCGUAUGAAAGUACGUUUUCACCCUCGGGUGACAGGGAGACAGGGUGGUGCAUGGUUGUCGUCAGCUCGUGUCGUGAGAUGUUGGGUUAAGUCCCGCAACGAGCGCAACCCUUAUCUUUAGUUGCCAUCAGGUAAUGCUGGGCACUCUAGAGAGACUGCCGGUGACAAACCGGAGGAAGGUGGGGAUGACGUCAAAUCAUCAUGCCCCUUAUGUCCUGGGCUACACACGUACUACAAUGGCCGGUACAAAGGGCGGCGAAGGGGUGACCCGGAGCAAAUCCCAACAAAACCGGUCUCAGUUCGGAUUGUAGUCUGCAACUCGACUACAUGAAGUCGGAAUCGCUAGUAAUCGCAGGUCAGCAUACUGCGGUGAAUACGUUCCCGGGCCUU